CAAUAUCAUUUAGUUUCCCCUUUCUAUUUCUUUAGGGUUUUUCUUUCACCAAUUUCUAGAAGGCAUAUAGUGAACCAAUUGCUCGGAGUUGUAACCCAGAAGAAGGUCUAAGUCUCGGAAAGGAUGAUAUCAUUCUUGAGGAUGAAAUCGAAGACUUACCACGAAACACCGGUGAAUCGCGGUUGUUGCCUGGACCUGAUAGAACAACGAGUUCAGAGCUGGACGUUGAUUUUUGUUUUCAGAUUCAGAGUUAACUCGGUCGGUUGAGGCGCUGGACGUUGAUUUUGGUUUUCAGAUUUAGAGCUAUCAGAUGACCAGAACAGUUCAGCUUUAUUGAGCUCAUCACCGGCGGAGGUGGUGAUACUGGAAGGAGGCGAGAGAUUGAAGGCACCGAGUAGGUGGUCGGAGUUGGGAGGAAAUCGGCGGUGGAACGGAGACGUGGGUUCCAUUAGGAACAAAUCUAUUUCAGGGCAUUCUAUUACGGUUUGAGAAACUGUGGGAGCUUGUUCUGUUAAAGUAAACGGUGCUAUUGCUUUUGAGAUUUCGGGUAUUUAACUUCAUUCAAUUCCGUUUCUAAAUGUGCUUUUUUUUAUUGGAUGGACCUAUUUUUUAUGAUAUUUAUAAAUAUGAAUUUGUUAUUAUUUGUUGUUUUGUACUUUUUAACGAUUCAAGAACUCCUCUGGAUUCUGUGUUUCAUUGGCUUUCUCUAGGGUGUUAUGUCCGUGGCCAAAGCUUCUGUUGGUUAGCAUUUAUUAUAGUUUUCUAUCUUACAAAUGUAAAUUGGUGUCUGUUCUCAUGAUGAAAUGCAGUGAUCAAUGAAUCGCGGUUUGAUGUGAUCUUAAUUGAGUUGCGAACCGGAGCAUUCAAAGAUGUAUCAUAUCAGGCAAGUGCCACACCAAAUAUGGGUCAUGUUCGAAGUCGUAGUAUUGGUUGGCAUGGAAUUGGAAUCUUGUUGAGUGGCUUUUUUGGAACACUAAUUGGUCAAAAGUUUCUGUGUAUUUUCUAAUUUUCUUGUAAGUGUGGGUGGAAAGAGAUUAAGUCAAUUUUAGGUUGAACUAAUAUUUGUGUUGUCUAUUCACAUUGGUGACUCUUGUUUCAAUUUAUAGUAUUGUUUAUGCUUUGAAUAUUUAAGAUAUGACUCUUAAUAAAGCUAGCAACAAGGAAUUAGUGGAUACAGUAGAAAAGGUUUCAAUUUGUAGUAUUGUUUAUGCUUUGAAUAUUUAAGAUAUGACUCUUAAUAAAGCUAGCAACAAGGAAUUAGUGGAUACAGUAGAAAAGGUUUCAAUUUAUAGUAUUGUUUAUGCUUUGAAUAUUUAAGAUAUGACUCUUGAAUAUUCCAAGAGAACAUGUUAACCACAAUCACUUUUGUAUUGUAAAAUUAGUAGAAGUAAUUGGUGAUAAUGUAGGAGCCUUUAACUCACGCAUUCCUUCUAUGUGUGGUGUCCUAGUGUCAUGCACUCACUAAUAUGAGCCUAAUGAUCUCAUUAAUUUUGACAGGAAAAGGUUUCGAUCUGAUCUUUAAUUUUGGUGGUUCCAGCAAGCAUGAAACUGCAAAAUCCUUCGAGUUUAACAUUUACUUCAACUGUACUAUCCUUCUCUCAUACUAGUGUUUAACGAACGGAAGUCAUCAUUGUUAAUAAUUUCAACGGCUUGAUGUGCGGUUGGCGGGACUGGUUUUUCACAUCAAUGAGCUAUUAUUUUUAGCAGAAAUUAUCUUGGCCGUUGUCAAAUCAGAGUGGGAGAAGGUGCAUCUUUUUGUGUUCCUCUUGAUUUACUUCAGUUGUAUUGUUUCUUACUUUUAAGCUCCUACGCUAUAUAUAUUUUUUGGUUCAGUAGUAUAUGUUUCCUAUAUUUGAUGUGCAAUCAUUGCUCUUAGCUCUUUUGUUUAGGGCUACAAAGGAUAGGAUACAUUCAGCUCAAGAACUUGUUCAUUCUUGUCAAAGUUGAUGAUGCAUUGAUUAUGAUGGAUUUCUAUUCACUUGGUUGUAUAGAUUGCAAAGCACUUCACCCAAAGUUGCAGGUUCAAAGACUGAAGAAUUGAGUAUUGUGAAGGGUGAUGGUAUUUUUGGUCUGUCAAGUGACUCAAGUCUCAGUAUGCUGCAACUGUAUGUGAUAUUUCGCUAGAAAAAAAUCGAUAUUGGUGAAGAUGAAACAGGUUCUUGUUUUACACAUGAUGAAACCGUAUCUAAUCUUCGAGAGGAGACAACAUAGGACCGCUCGACAAGUUGCUAGACAAACUGAAUAUCGGAGCUAAUGCGUCUCUUUUCUCAUCUUUUAUUACAAAUGGAGCUCUUUUGAUAAGUUUGGUAGAAGAAUAUUAUUUCUAUAAUGCUGCAUUAAAAAAAAAUUGUUACAAGUUAAGUUAUGUUUGAUCUUGUGAAA